UGCGGAUAUACUGGAGCUGUCACAGUUCAAAACAAGGAGUCCAUUGUUCGGGCCAUAAUACUCCAUGCAGUGCUGAGGUUGCAGCCUAUGUUGGAACAACUAAUGGAAGGCCUGCAGCUGUAUGACCUUCUUUUGCUCAUCAGGCAGUACCCAGAUAUCUGCCAACCCCUGUUUGUUCCUGGAGAAGAUGUCAAGGUCAAUGCAGAGUUUGUCAUGGCAUCCAUUCUCCCUCAACUGAGUGACAAAGGGACUACCAGGCAUCAGGUUGAGCUGGAGAUGAUUAACUUUGUACAGGACUUCCUUUAUUAAGUUGAAGGUAUAUAGAUUUUUAUCUCCUGCAAAUCUGAACUCAAAAACUGUCACAUUUGAGUGUUUGGUGACAAAACAUUGAAAUUUGUGACCGCUUGUAGU